GCCCGUAUGGCUCAGCGGGAGAGCGUCCCGUUCACACCGGGAAGGUCCCAGGUUCGAUCCCUGGUGCGGGCAC
rnacentral:tRNA from 1 species